AUUGAACGCUGGCGGCAGGCCUAACACAUGCAAGUCGUGCGAGCGGCGGACGGGUGAGUAAUGUAUGGGGAUCUGCCUGAUGGAGGGGGAUAACUACUGGAAACGGUAGCUAAUACCGCAUACCAUCCGAUGAACACAUAUGGGAUUAGCUUGUAGGUGAGGUAACGUCUCACCUAGGCGACUAGCCCUAGCUGGUCUGAGAUGAGGAUCAGCCACACUGGUACUGAGACACGGCCCAGACUCCUACGGGAGGCAGAAGUGGGGAAUAUUUCGCAAUGGGGGCCACCCUGACGCAGCCAUGCCGCGUGAAUGAAGAAGGCCUUCGGGUUGUAAAUUUCUUUCGGUAGCGAGGCGUUAACUACAGAAGAAGCACCGGCUAACUCCGUGCCAGCAGCCGCGGUAAUUC
rnacentral:rRNA from 1 species